GGUUAGAGCUCGGCCACGUAGGCUGAGUGCCUGGUAUCUGUUUUUCUCUCGGUGCAGGAAAACAUGGAGAAUGGGGAAAGUAGCUGCCGCAUGCCAAUGUGAAACUCCGAGGAGUCUAGCCAUUCUGAUCUGGCCUUCUAGGUCAGCAGGAGGCUCUGCCAUCACGUGAGGAGGUACUGCCAACAAUAAGGCCCAAUCGUGAUCCUCCCACAACAAGAGCAGAUUGUGAGAGGACUCAUCAGAGAGCAACACGGACAGAUGACGACCAUCACCUGGAGCUCCAGUUUGAAGAGGCUUUUCCCUGCGCAAUCUCCUUUGAUUUUCACAAUAACCCUUAGCCCCGCGGAUUCCUCCUGCAGUGGUUUCCUUAUCAGAGUCUCUGGGAGGAGCUGCCAAUGCAUCAUUCCUAAAUUAUUCUGUUUUCGCAUCUCCUCCCUUCUCCAAAGUCAGAGGGGACCUGCCUCACCUGGGUGCUGCACGCAGAUUUCUUAGCCUGAUGCUCAAGACCCCAUGCAACACAAUUUCAACCUACAAUCCUAUGGCAGUCCUGGCUGCUGGGAUUUCCUUCCUUGAGUCCUCUGCUUCUGACAAGCUGGUUACCUGGCACACAGCAGGCAUGAAGAAACGUUUUUGCAUGAAAGAAUACGCCUUCUGUUGUGCUGCAGUUUGCCUCCGUUCAUCUCAACAUAUAUUCCUUGAGUGACUGGGACAACUGGUGCUUGAAGGCUUCCCGUAUGCCAGACACUGGUAGGGAACAGACACUGUUCCAGUUUGCCCUGGACUUUCCUGAUUUUAGCCCUGGAAGUCAUGUCUCAGGAAUUCCCCACCCCACCCCAGGCAAAUUGGGACAGUUGGCCAUCCUAAUAAAUGGGGCUCCAUGCAUUCUAUUUUCCUGGGACUUCCAACAUAGUGAGAGUAGAUGACAUUAAACAAAUUACCCCACAAAGAAAUGCAUAAUUACAAACCAUGGCAGGUGCAAAGGAGAAGUCAACCCUGAGCUGGGCACUGUGGAAAUGAAGAGAAAAAGACACAGUCAGGCCUUGGUGAAGCACCCUGCUUGUAACUAGGAGAGAGGGGGACACACAGCUUAUUUAUUGUGAAGUGAUGAGCACAGUGAAUUAGAAACCUCCACUCUCUUGUCCCUGUUCACAUUAUGCUGUUUCUAUUUUAACUGGGGUUUCAAACAUUAGAAACCCACUCUGGUGAAUUAAAUAGAGGGGUAUUGAAAGGGAUUUGGAAGGAAAAGCUGAAAAAAUAGGCCUAGGAAGAGAGAGAAACAAUUGCAUCCUAGGGAGUUGAGAUAGUCAAAAAAUAAUGCCAGAACAAAAGAACAUGCUUUGUUCCACUUCCAUUAGAAAAAUUGACUCUGGCCGUUCAAUGCCCUUGGGUUUCUCUGGCCAAUAUCCUGAUUCCAGGAAGAAAGUAUAUGACGGCCAAGCUUGGGUCUCAUGCCAGCCCCUUGGCCAGUCUAACGGAGCACCAUGAUUAGAAAUUCCAUCAAAACCGUGCGCAGCUGGGCAUGGGGACGCGCAGUUGCUAUGGGUAAUGGAGGGGCAGGUGCUGGGAAGGUGACGGCCACGGCUGCCUGCUCUCUCCUCUUCAAAAAGGGGCCCAGACAUUGCCUUCUCCAGGGUCUCUUACACCGUGGUCACUGCCCUUGGAGUGCUUCUCUGCUUGCUUUUAGUCCAGAAUAUUCUGUUACCAUGGAUAGCACGAGGCUGACAGCUGUUUUGUCUUACCCAGCCACCCUGACUAUUAUCACCUUGGAGCAUGUGCUGAGUCCUCGGGCACAGCUAGUACAAUGCCUGGCACAGCCAAGAGACUCCAUGAAUUUUGCUGAGCACUUUCUGGAGAGUUUUACAGAGCACGUGGCCAUGAUGAUCCUGCCAUCCUUCCCUGGCCCAUUGCCCUCCAGCCAAACCGACCUUCUUCCUGGAUCUCAAACACUUUGAGCAACUUUGCAGCCCGCCUGGCUAUUCCUUCAUCCCAUGUUGCUGCUUUGCCGGUCUUGUGACUCUGGGGUUCUCAAGUGGGGGUGGUUUUGCCCUCCAGGGGAACACUUGGCAAUGUCUGGGGACAUUUUUUGGUUAUCACCCUGGAAAAUGGGACGCUACUGGCAUCUCGUGGGUAAAGGCCAGGGAUGCUGCUAAACAUCCUAUAAUGCACAGGACAAUCCCCCAACAAAGAGUUAUGGGAUCCACAGCAUCCACAGUGCCAAGGUCGGGAAAGCCUGCAGUAAGGCGCAAUCCCCUCAGCCCAGAGACCCUCCCGUUCAGGAAGGCUUCCCUGAGCAUCACCCGUUUCUUUCUCUCAUGCCCCCCACUGUAUUUCCUUUGUGACACCUUGUCACAGCCUAAAAUGAUCCUGCCUGCUUGUUCAGUUGCUGGCUUGGUGCCUGUCUUGUGGACUAGAUCGGUCUGAUGAGAGCGACCCCCAUGGGCCUUGCUCGUGGGGAACUCCCCCGCAUGGAGAGUAGCACACGGCAUACAGCAGGCUGCUCAGUAAAAAUGUGUUGCAAGAAUGUUGAAUAAAGAAAUAUGACCUCAA